UUCAUUUCAGUGACCGACACAGACCAAACCAGGAGGAUGUCAACUUCUGAAGACUUUGCAUUGUCCAGUGAGAAUUUGGCAGCAAGAGACAAUGGCAGAGGCAUAGCAUUCCACUUCUUUGAUGCAGUUGACUCGGGAUACAGUUUGCAACCUGGUGUCAUCCCAACCAAUUUUGAUGUCCAACAAUUACAGGAAAUGCCUAACCUGCCUAGUCCAAGAAGAAAUCUUCAUGAAUCUGAGAACAAUGCUAUGAGAAGUCCCACGAUUGCUCUCUGUUCUUGUGAAGGAUCUCCCAUCGCCACCAUCAUUAACCUAAUGGCCGAAAUGAGUUCACGAGAGGAACUUAAAAACAGACUCCGAAGACAGUUAGUGAUUACAAUCCAGCAACGUGAUGAGUACCAGAGGAGAGACAGAGAAGCCAAAGCCAAAUUGAGGAUGUUUGAGAGAAAGGCCAUUGUGUUGAGGGCACAGGUCAGUGCUUUACAACCAGGUCAAUUCCAUUUACCAUCUGGUCAGAUCUCAAACAACUUAGUGUGAGCCAGCAGACAA